UAGAAACUGAAAAACUAAAGGUUAAUAGUAAACCUCCAGAAGUUAAUGAAGAGGCAUGAAGAGACUCUUUCUCACAGAGAAGGAACCAACUCCGCUGACACCUCCAUCUUGGACUUCUAGCCUCCAAAAUUGUGAUACAGUAACAUUUCUGCUUCAUCUUACAGACAGGAAAAUAGAGUUUCAGCCGUUCCUCUCUUCUGAGCUCCUCUCUGGCCAACUUUAAUUCAUCGAUAGGUUCUGCCACCCGCAACGUUGGCUCCAAAGGCUUGUAGCGUUGUUCUAAUACUUCGGUGAUAUCUCGGAAGGGCCCCUGACAAGACAGGAUGAGGAACAUAUUUAAUACGGGAGAUUUUUUUUUGAGAAUACCUAGAUCAUCCAAGACUCAACUUGACCCUGCAGGAUCACUCACCCAGAGGGAAGUGAGCUACCAUGUUGUGAGGCAGCUCUGUGAAGAUGCCAAUGUGAAGAGGGGCUGAGGCAUGACAACACCCAACCAUAGACAGGCUCUCGCUAUGUGGCCCAGGCUGGUUGUGAACUCCUGGGCUCAAGUGAUCCUCCCACCUCACCCUCCCAAAGUGCUGGGAUUAUAGGCAUGAGCCACUGUGCCUGGCCUGGCUGACAUCUGGACUACAGCAUCAUGAGAAAAUUUGAGUAACAGGAACUCACCAAAGGCUGUACCUAGAAUGGCAAACCCACAGAAACUGUGAAGUAACAAAUGGAACUGCUUAUUCCGGGUAUGAAGAAUGAUUAAGUAUUCAGGAUAGAUGGAAGAAUUCAAGUUUUACUUUUACAAAUGACAAUUACGCAGCAAAAAGGAGUGGCU